rnacentral:lncRNA from 1 species
ACGAGCGUGGAGCGAGCGGGAGGAGGGAGGGGGCUGGGGCCGAGUCUGUGCCGAGCGAGUGCAGGGAGGGAGGGGGCGGGCGAGCGGGCAGUGAGCUGGAGGGGCCGCGGCGGCGCCGGGGGUGCCAGCCGCCUCCUCUGGCCGCCGGCCCGUCGGCCCUGCAAAGUUUAACGCCAAUUCCCCUUGCGUCCUGGGAGCCGAGCGUUUUCUCUCCCUGCUGACGCUCCCAGCAGCUCUGCCUGGCCAGGCCAGGCUGGAGAGCACCCGGACCAUUUUCCAGACGGUGAGAUGGAGCCCUGGAAACCGAGCUUAUGAGCAGCCCGGAGCUUUCCAUUGCCUGCCCAGCCUUCCAGAUACAUCCCAGUUCCAGUUCUUUCCAGAGCCCUCUGGGAUCCAGCCAGCCUGCUUCCCCGCCAGGGCCUCACUGCUUCCAAAGUGAGUCCCCAUAACCUAGAAAGUCUGUAACUCUGUGGAUCUGGUGACAGCUGUGAAUCUACUAGAACACUACACAUAGCCACAAAAUCGUGCAUCUAACACGAGGGGGUCUGGACCCCUCUGAAGCCCAAUCACGAACUCUAAAUUAAGAUCCACCUCCACUUUUUAAUCUGAGCCCUGUCUCCCAUAACCCCACUGCCGGCAGGGCACUAGCGCUGCGAGGCUUCCUCUCAGGUCAGCCGCUUGCCUCUUCCUGUACCCGCUUCCCUAUCUGAGCAGGACUACAAGGCCCACCUCUGCAGCAUUCUUGCCCAGGCCUGAUUCUCAAGCAAAGUCUUUUCUCCACAAAUAGAGGUAGUGAGGGACAAUCAAUGAGGGAGAUAAACAGAUACUUGGGGACAGACAUUGGCAGAGAGCUAGGUGGGGACAAGCUUAUGCACAGUCCUGGAGACUGACUGUCUCUCCCUGCGUAGCCUUGGCAGACCGGUCAGGCUUUACAGGCCUCUCACCCAAUUUAGAAGCUGUCCUCCUCCCCCUACCCUACCUUGCCAUACUAUCUACACACUGCAGCCUGAACAGGCAGAGGGAGCAGAUGGAGAGAAGGUUGCAGGCAGCAACAGGGGGAGGAAUAUGUCUUUAGCAGCGUGGUGGAGCCGGGAGUCCCUAGAAAGAAUGGGUGGGGGAGGUGAACACUGGAUGGAGGAGGGAAGGAGAAGCACUCUGGCCCAGGGUUUCAGAAGACGCUCCACACCCAGAGCUUCCCCAUUUACUCACUCAAACAAUGCUCUUUUACAGGCCACUGACUAUAGGCCCAGACCUGCCUCAGGCUUUGGGGGACAGAGAGCCCCCCCAUAAAAUCCUAUCUUCAGCUGCAAGAGGUUUCCAUUCCUGGCAGUAAACCCAACUGGCUUUUAUAAAGAAGGUGGCUGAGGCAGGGAUGCAGGAGUGCUGAUUUCUCCUUUGGAGAAGAUGAAGCACUCCAUGCUUUACUGUAUGAGGCUGCCAGCUCUCUGUGGAAUGACCUUGCCUGUUUGUGGCUAUACGCUCAGGCUCUGUAUAGUAUAAUGCAGGCAUGCAGCGGGUGCUCAGUGAGACUUGUUCAAUGGAAACCUAAAGAAGCAAGGAAGAUGGAGGAGGAGGGGAAAGGGAAGAAAGCGAGCGAGAGAAAAACGAAGAGGUAGUUUAGCUCCAUACUUGGAGGCAAGGAAACUAUUUUUAAUUCCUAGGUUCAGGGGUACUUGUGCAGGUUUGUUAUGUGUGCAAACUUGUGUCAUGGGAGUUUGUUGUACAGAUGAUUUCACCAACCAGGUAUUAAGCCUGGUACUCAAUAGUAAUUUUUUUCUGAUCCUCUCCCUCCUCCUGCCUUCCACCCUCUGGUAGGCCUCUGUGUGUGUUGUUCCCCUCUAUGUGUCUGUGUGCUCUCAUCAUUUAGCUCCCACCUAUAAGUGAGAACUUGUGAUAUUUGGUUUUCUGUUCCUGCAUUAGUGUGCUAAGGAUAAUGGUCUCCAGCUCCAUUCAUGUUUUUGCAAAGAACAUGAUCUCAUUCUUUUUUAUGACUGCAUAGUAUUCCAUGGUGUAUAUGUACCGUAUAUAUGCUCAUUCAUUGAUGAGCAUUUAGGUUGAUUCCAUGUCUUUGCUCUUGUGAAUAGUGCUGCAAUGAACAUACAUGGGCAUGUGUCUUUAUAAUAGAACAAUUUAUAUUCCUUUGGGUAUAUACCCAGUAAUGUCAGACAACCUACAGAAUGGGAGAAAAAUUUUACAAACUAUGCAUCUGCAAAAGUCUAAUAUCCAGCAUCUAUAAGGAACUUAAACAAAUUUACAGGAAAAAAACCAAACAACCCAACUGAGAAGGAAACUAUUGUGUAAAGAAUCCACUGUUUGCCAGGUGCUGUCCCACACCGAGCAUGGUCUCUCAUUUCAAUUUCAUAAUCUUCCUGAAAACGAGGUGUGGUUAUUGCCAUCUGAAAGAUAAGUAUCUGAUUUUUUAUGGGGGGUCCCAACCCAGCCAAGGUCACUCAGUCAGGAAGCGGUGGGAUUUGGCAGAUUCAAGGGCAGCCCUGACUACAGAGCCAGAACCCAUUUCACCUUCACAGCCUACUUCCCAGAAAUUUGGUGGCUGCCUCUGUGCUAUGAUUUGGUUGCUACCUGCUGAAGCUUCAACCUCUCAUCACUACCAGAAGGACCACAUCACUAAAAGUCCAUCAAUGGGGUUACUCACUUUGAUGGGCCUGUGCAGCGUCAUUCAGGAAGCCCGUGGUACUCACAUCACUCUGGCCAGACGCUAACAAGAAAAUGAUCCACUGUGACGCAGCCGACCCCAUCCAGUGCAUCCACAUUACCUGGAAAGAAGCAAUUAUGCCCCUUUGGUUUCCUUGGAAAUGCUUGGUCUGUCUCUACCAUCCGCCCUGGCUCUUGAGAAAUACUCAUGCACGGUAGAGCUUUGACAGGGAGACAGUGUGUUUAUUUUCCAACUGAAAGUUUACAGAAUACAAAGUGAGCCUGUAAGAUGGUGGCCACUCUCCAGAGGCUUGUUGGUCAGACAGGAAAGAAAACCAGUGCACCAUCGGGAACGUGGAGGAGGCUGAAAGAGAGGGACAAACAUAUUGGAUUGGAUUGGGCCCCCACAGUCAAGUUCCUGCAAACCAAGCUGGGAGAUUUUCCUGACUAAGGGUUAUGUUCUUGGGCCUCAAAGCUCCCCAGCCAACGCCCAGCUUCUGUGCCGAGGAGGAUACAGGAGGACAGACACAGCCUCUGUGUCAGGAGGAGGGAAGAAGGACUAAUGUCUGUGGACACUCUGAGGCUCACAGGGAGAAGCCACACACUCGCAGCACCAGGUAUAUUAUCUCUGUUCUCCCACUAGACUUUAAGCUCAGUGGAUGCCAGGACCCUUAGAACAAAGCACAUAGCAAGUUUUCAGUGAAGCCUUGUUAACUUUCAAAUGAAGGAAUAAACGAAUGACUAUAUUUCCACUUCGCAGAUGAGUAAACAGAGGCUUGGAGGGGUGAUGAAAUUUGCCAACAGUCAUCAAUCGUUCCAGGAACAGGUGAUGCUUCCCGGCAGUGAGACUCGAAACCAGCGGGAGUUCCCAGCCAGAGACAUGAUCUAAGUGCCAAUGGCUGAAUGUCUGUGAGCAUUUCAAGUCAUUUUAAGAAUAGGCAACAUUAGCGGCACCAUUAAAGCCUGCUGUUCCUCCAGCCCAUCACUGCCAUCCCCACCUAUUAAAAUAAUGGCAUGAAAAAUAAACAGCCUUUAUGUACA